UCUCCUCUGUUUCCAAGCCUUUGUUAGUUGAGAUUUCUGCUGCUAACGGCCAAAGCCAUUCCUCACUGCUGUUGACUUUCCCAGUAUUUAUUGAUCAUUCUUGGGUGUUUCUCAGAGAAGUCACAAAUUCUUGCUAAUAUCAUUCAAUCAAUACCUGCUGCUACUUGCCCCGGAGGGAGCAAUUUAGAGUUGACCAUGUGAGAAGCUGCAUCUCCAUCAACCUAAAAACAUCAACCCUUGAAUUCAGAGCUGCUGCAUUUCUACUUGAAGCUCAAGCUCAAGUUCUGUUUUCUCUGCUCAUCUGGAUCCACUCCAGCCACACUGGCCUCCUUGCUGCUUCUCAAAACACACCAGCCUCAUUCCUGUAUCUAGUUCUAUGUUUUUGUUUUGCCAUAGCACUUAAAACCUUUGGACAUAGUAUAUCAUUUACUUAUUCAUUAUGUUUCUUUUUUAUUUGUUUGUCUUCCCCUGCUAGAAAGUAAGCCAAAGACAGGAAUCUUUGUUCUGUUCAUUGAUAUAGCCAAGGUUCUAAAGCACUUCCUAGCAUAUAAUGGGUGCUCAAUAUAGCUUGUUAAAUGAAUGAUUUAAUUGAUUUAUUGAUCUUUCUCUGCAUGGGCAAUCACUUGUGUCUCUUGAGAAUCUGUUUUGGCUGCUUUGUCUUCGUCUUCUCAAGGCGCCCCCUAGAAAUCAUAGCCAAGUGAAUUCUGCAGAGACCACACAGCCUACAUAUCAAGCAGACCUUCCAAACUCAGUGGAAGUCUUUUCACAGUAUGGUUACAAACAGAAACCAUAGCAGCUUUAUUGAGAUAUAAUUCACUUACCUUAAAACUUACCCUUCUAGGGGCCGGGCACAGUGGCUCACGCCUGUAAUCCCAGUACUUUGGGAGGCCAAGGCGGGCAGAUCACGAGGUCAGGAGAUCGAGACUAUCCUGGCUAACACAGUGAAACCCCAUCUCUACUAAAAAUACAAAAAAAUUAGCCGGGCGUGGUGGUGGGCGCC
rnacentral:antisense_RNA from 1 species